rfam:Human gut metagenome DNA, contig sequence: In-R_000752.
UUGGAGUUCAAUUGUGAUAGUUCUUAGACUUUUCCUUAACUACUCAGCUAUCCACAGACACGGAUGUCUGUGGAAGUGAGAUAUGGGACAUGGAUGUCCCGUAUCGAACGGUAGCGGCAGUAGUCACAACCUAUAAGAAAAGUCUUAGAAAUAUCCAAUUGAAACUUCUG